rnacentral:rRNA from 1 species
AUCGUCCCCCACCCCCAGUAACCUCUCCCGGCUACCUCCUAUCGCUGCCGCCCCCACCUUCUCAGUGGAUUUCGCCGGCGCCUCGCCCCCACCUACUCCGCUGCUCCCGCCGGCACCUCGCGCCCACCUACUCCGCGGCCCCCGCCGACGCCUCGCCCCCACCUUCUCCGCAGCUCCCGCCGGCGCCAGGCUCCCCAUGUGGCGGCUGCCUUCCUUCCGCCAACCGGCCACCUCCCGCUUCAGACAGUUCGGGCAUCGCCCCUCCGCCUCCUUCUGGCUGCCCUCGGCGACGCUCCAGCCGCCA